rnacentral:lncRNA from 1 species
CCCGGUCCAAAAAUCCCAAAAUAUCCCAAAAUUCCAGCCCAAAAAAUCCUCAAAAUCCCAGCCCCAAAAUCCUGGGAGUUAUCUCAAAAAAUCCCCAAAAAUCCCGGUCCAAAACUCCCGAAAUACACCAAAAUUCCAGCCCAAAAAUCCCGGAAAUUACCCAAGAAACCCCUCAAAAAUCGCAGCCCAAAAAUCCCAAAAUAUCCCAAAAUUUCUGCCCACAAAUCCCAAAAUUUCUGCCCAAAAAUCCCAAGAAUUACCCCCAAAAAUCCCAUCCCAAAAAUCUUGGGAGUUAUCUCAAAAAAUCCCCAAAAUCCCCACCCAAAAAUCCUGUGAGUUAGCUCAAAAAAAUCCCCAAAAAUCCCGGUCCAAAAAUCCCCAAAUACACCAAAAUUCUGGCCCAGAAAUUCCAAAAUUUCUGCCCAAAAAAUCCUGUGAGUUAUCUCCAAAAAAUCCCCAAAAAUCCCAGCUCAAAAAUUUUGGGAAUUAUCUCAAAAAAUCCCCAAAAAUCCCGGUCCAAAAAUUCCAAAAUAUACCAAAAUUUCUGCCCCAAAAUCCUGGGAAUUAUCUCAAAAAGUCCCCCAAAAAUCCCAGUCCAAAAAUCCCCAAAAAUCCUGGGAAUUAUCUCAAAAAAACCCCAAAAAUCCCGGUCCAAAAAUAUCAAAAUAUCCCAAAAUUCCAGCCCCAAAAUCCUGGGAGUUAUCUAAAAAAAUCCCCAAAAAUCCCGGUCCAAAAAUCCCGGUCCAAAAAUCCUGGGAAUUAUCUCAAAAAAUCCCCAAAAAUCCCGGUCCAAAAAUCCCAAAAUAUCACAAAAUUCCGGCCCAAAAAAUCCUCAAAAUCCCAGCCCCAAAAUCCUGGGAGUUGUCUCAAAAAAUCCCGGUACAAAAAUCCCGAAAUAUUGCAAAAUUACAGCCCAAAAAUCCUGGGAAUUAUCUCAAAAAGUCCCCAAAAUCCCCGCCCAAAAAUCUUGGGAGUUAUCGCAAAAAAUCCCGGUACAAAAAUCCCGAAAUAUCCCAAAAUUCCAGCCCAAAAAUCCCCAAAUUCCCAGGCCAGAAAUUGCAAAAAAUCCCCAAAAUCCCUGCCCCAAAAUCCCUCAAAUUCCUACCCCAAAAAUCCUGGAAAUUACCCAAAAAAACCCCCAAAAUCCCAGCCCAAAAAUUCCAAAAUUUCUGCCCAAAAAUCCCAGGAAUUACCCCCAAAAAAAUGCCAAAAUCCCA